UCUCCAGUAGCUCAGUGGUAGAACGUCGACCGGUGUGCAGAAGGUCAUAGGUUCGACUCCUGUGUCUGUUGGGAGAA